GACGAACGCUGGCGGCGUGCUUAACACAUGCAAGUCGAACGGAAAGGCCUGCUUUCCCUUGUGGAUUGCGGGUACUCGAGUGGCGAACGGGUGAGUAACACGUGAGUGAUCUGCCCCCAACUUGGGUAUAAGCCUGGGAAACUGGGUCUAAUUCCCGAUAGGACUGCAGGGUGGUGCCUGUGGUGGAAAACGAUUUUCUAGUGGUUGGGGAUGAGCUCGCGGCCUAUCCGCUUGUUGGUGGGGUAAUGGCCUACCAAGGCGGCGACGGGUAGCCGGCCUGAGAGGGUGGACGGCCACAUUUGGACUGCGAUACGGCCCAGACUCCUACGGGAGGCAGCAGUGGGGAAUAUUGCACGAUGGGCGGAAGCCGGAUGCAGCGACGCCGCGUGGGGGAUGACGGCCUUCGGGUUGUAAACUCCUUUCGACCGCGAGGAAGCCACCUGGUUGGAAGGGUGGUGACGGUAGUGGUAGAAGAAGCACCGGCUAACUACGUG
rnacentral:rRNA from 1 species